rnacentral:lncRNA from 10 species
UUUUUUUUGAACUAGGUGGUGGAGAGUUAGGAGUUAACUCUGUAAGAGUGGCAGAGACAAGUUUUUAUAUAAAACUUUGAAGGUAGGGAAUAACAUAACAGUCUACAAGAAUAAGUACACCAAUAACAAUAGUGAACAAGGUGAGAAUUGAAGGUGGAGUCUCACCCUGCUGCCCAGGCUGAAGUGCGAUGGUGUGAUCUCGGCUCACUGCAACCUCUGCUUCUGGGGUUCAAAUGAUUCUCCUGCCUCAGCCUCCUGAGUAGGUGGGAUUAGAGGUGCUCGCCACCAUGCCCAGCUAAUUUUUGUCUUUUUAGUAGAGACGAGGUUUCACCAUGUUGGCCAGGCUAGUCUCAAAUUCCUGACCUCGUGAUCUGCCUGCCUUGGCCUCCCAAAGUGCUGGGAUUACAGGCGUGAGCCACCACGUCCAGCCAAAACCCCAUACCUAUUAACAGUCAUGCCUCACAUCUCACAUACCUCUAGAGGUUCCUGUAAACCACGAAUCUACUUUUUCUAUUCUGAACAUUUUAUGUAAGUGCAAUUAUAAAAUAAGUGGACUUUAGUGUCUGCUUUCAUUUAGCAUAUUGUUUAUGAUGUACAUUUAUGUUGUAGUAUAUCUCAGUACUUUAUUAAUUAUGAAGGUUGAAUUAUAUUCCAUUAACAUAAUAUACAAACAAAUUUGUCUGUUCACCAAUGGAUGGACAUUUAGGUCGUUUAAACUUUCUAAUUAUAAUGAAUAGGCUGCUAUGAAUAUUCAUGUACAAAUUUUUGUUUGAAUGUGUUUUUAAUUCACUUGGGUAUAUAACUAGACCUGGUAUUAUGGAUCAUAACUAUCUGUUUAACAUUUGAGAAACUUUCAAACUGUUUUUAAAGUAACUGUGCAAUUUUAAGUUCCCAAAAGCAGACUAUGUUGGCUUCAAUGAGAUGGGAACAUAGGAGCACCUUUUUUUUUUUUUUUUUUUUUUUUUUUUUUGAGAGGGAGUAUUGCUGUGUCACCUAGGCUGGAGUGCAAUAGCUCGAUCUCAGCUCACUGCAACCUCUGCCUCCUCGGUUCAAGCGAUUCUCCUGCCUCAGCCUCUUGAUUAGCGGGGAUUACAGGCACCUGCCACCAUGCCUGGCUAAUUUUUUUUUGUUAUUUUAGUAGAGAUGGGGUUUCACCAUGUCGGCCAGGCUGAUCUCAAACUCCUGACCUCAGGUGAUCUGCUUGCCUUGGCCUCCCAAAGUGCUGAGAUUACAGGCAUGAGCUACUGGGCCCAGCCAGGAGCACCCUUUAAAAUAGCAAUACAUUAACCCUCAAAAAUGAAUAUGUACAUGCUGAGAAGCCGAGUGCAACAGGAGAUUAAUGAAGAGGGUCAGCAGCAGAAUGACUGGGGAAAGGAUGUAUUAAUAAGGGAAAAGUGUGUUGGGGCUGAUUGCUCUGAGGAAAAGUAGGUCAGGACUCCUGGUGUAGGUGGCUCUAGGACCAAGUUGGCAUGGGCAGCCUGGAUGGGCUGGUGAGUCAGGAAACCCUGGUGAUGCAAUUCCCAGCUGACAGCACUCUCCCAAUUGCAAAGAGUAUCUUUUCACUUCUCCAGUUGCUAGGUCAGAGGGGACCCAUGGGCAGCUCCGCAGGUCAUUUUAAAGUCAGGGAAAUGCAGAAAAAAAGGAUAAAAUUGAGUCUCUGUCCCAGUGUACUCCUGCCCCCAGCCAACCUUCCACCUCUCUCAUUAGUGUCCCUGAGAUGCCUGGCAGUGCCUUGGGCCCUCCUUUCAUCUGGGUUUCAGCCCACUCUGUCCUCUUCUACUUCCUGUCUUUGAUUGCCUCUUUGGCUCAGGCUUGUAACAUCUGCAGUGCCAGUCACCUGGGAUUGCAAGCGGCCCAGAUGGUCUGUUCAGAGUGCUGCUGGGAAGGUGGGUGCUGGGACAGUGGCCCUGGGAGACUAAGAAGCUGAAGGAGGGAAGAAGGAAACGUGAGAAGGUUACAGCCAUGCCUCUGGACUGCUAAAGUCCCAGGGAGAAAAGACUUUGGCUUGGGGCCCUUCAUGGUGAACGAGGAGAUGGGUCCACUGAAGAGAAAAAAAAAAGGAAUGGAAGCUGACCUACAGGGAACAAGAAAGUGGGGCCAGCCACAUCCUCCAGCCACCAGUUGGGGGGUGUGGGGGGAGGGGGUUGGACAAGAUGACCUCUGAGGUUUCUGUCUCACUCAGUCUGGCUGACAGCUGAGUGACAGGCUUGCUCAGAAAGGACAUCCAGAUGUCAGUUUCUGAUGCAUCCAGGAUACUGGAGUUCAAACAUUUUCACCCUUCUACUUCCUUGGCUCCAAGCUUUAUACUGAGAGCUGGUUCUCAGGCUGUGAAAGGGGUAGGGUUUGCGGUGGGCAGACUGCUGACCUCUGCCUCCCGAUUUCAGGUUGCUCUGCCACUCAGUGUUGGCCUUGGACUGUCCUGAGCAGGUUGCUGUUCCCCUACCCUGCCAUGUACAUAGAAGGCAAGUGUGAGACCUUCAUUUUCUCACUAGAAAAUACUGAAUAAAGUUUUCUGAGGGCCCCCUUCCCUAUUUCACAUGCUAAGCUGGAGGGCAAAAAUUGAACAUGGAAGUGGUAGAAAUAGGUAGUUCCCAGUGGAACACCAAAUACAGCCAGGCUGAAGGGCCCAAGCAAAGCAGAGGAACAGACAGCACUGGAUUCCCCUCAUUCAUCCCUGUUCUCUGCUGACUCUUCCCAAGUUGGGGUCCCAUCAGCUACCCAUGAGCAUGCCAAAAACAAGCACACAGUUAAUAGUUUGCAGCAUAGACAAGCAAGGUUCUGAGAGAAACACCACCUCCCUGGCAACUGUACACUCUGCUCUCCUGAGACUGGAGAGCAAAGCUGAUUACAAUCAAAGGGAAAAAGACAGAAAAUAUCCUGCCUCCAGGAGUCAGGCUAUCCUCCAGUUUUCUUGGCAGCACCAUUGUCCCUUGCUGACCACUGACUCCCUGCCAGGAGGGGUGGGAGAGAGACUAGGAGACUCACCUUGGGACAAAGGGCUGGUCCAGCCUUUUCAGCUCCUGGGGAACUUUGUCCCAGCCAAUGCUUUCAUGGAAACUGAGCUAUGAGAGAC